CCUGAUGCAGCAACGCCGCGUGAGGUAUGAAGGCCUUUGGGUGUGUGAAGCCUCUGUCCUAGGGGAAGAAAAAAAUGACGGUACCCGAGGAGGAAGCCCCGGCUAACUACGUGCCAGCAGCCGCGGUAAUACGUAGGGGGCAAGCGUUAUCCGGAAUUAUUGGGCGUAAAGAGUGCGUAGGUGGUCUACUAAGCGCGAGGUGAAAGGCAAUGGCUCAACCAUUGUUAGCCUUGCGAACUGGCAGACUUGAGUGCAAGAGAGGAAAGCGGAAUUCCUAGUGUAGCGGUGAAAUGCGCAGAUAUUAGGAGGAACACCGGCGGCGAAGGCGGCUUUCUGGAUUGUAACUGACACUGAGGCACGAAAGCGUGGGUAGCAAACAGGAUUAGAUACCCUGGUAGUCCACGCCGUAAACGAUGAGCACUAGGUGUCGGGACAUGAGUCUCGGUGCCGCAGUUAACGCAAUAAGUGCUCCGCCUGGGGAGUACGCACGCCAGUGUAAAACUCAAAGGAAUUGACGGGGACCCGCACAAGCAGCGGAGCAUGUG
rnacentral:rRNA from 1 species